GAUGAACGCUGGCGGCGUGCCUAAUACAUGCAAGUCGAGCGAACAGACGAGGAGCUUGCUCCUCUGACGUUAGCGGCGGACGGGUGAGUAACACGUGGAUAACCUACCUAUAAGACUGGGAUAACUUCGGGAAACCGGAGCUAAUACCGGAUAACAUGUUGAACCGCAUGGUUCAACAGUGAAAGACGGUCUUGCUGUCACUUAUAGAUGGAUCCGCGCCGCAUUAGCUAGUUGGUAAGGUAACGGCUUACCAAGGCAACGAUGCGUAGCCGACCUGAGAGGGUGAUCGGCCACACUGGAACGGAGACACGGUCCAGACUCCUACGGGAGGCAGCAGUAGGGAAUCUUCCGCAAAGGGCGAAAGCCUGACGGAGCAACGCCGCGUGAGUGAAGAAGGUCUUCGGAUCGUAAAACUCUGUUAUUAGGGAAGAACAAAUGUGUAAGUAACUAUGCACGUCUUGACGGUACCUAAUCAGAAAGCCACGGCUAACUACGUG
rnacentral:rRNA from 1 species